rnacentral:misc_RNA from 1 species
AUUGGAUCGAUUGACCUCUUUGACGAUUAGGAGGUUUAUGUUCAUGUGUUGUAAUGAAAGUUGGUUGAGUUUUUGCUCAAUUUUUGGUACUUAAUUUGAAUCCAAUUACAUUUAUUCUACUACUAGAUGCAUAAUCAGUAAUUACGGAUCCUGUGAGAAUGAGAUUUCAAGGACCAGGCGGCCCGAAUUUCAACCGCGGUGGAAGGAAUGAAAUGAUGGACGGACCAGGUCCAGGCCGUUUUCAACAAGGGCCUGGUGGCGGCGGCGGCAUGGGCCCAGGCGGUAUGGGCCCAGGCGGCAUGGGCCCAGGCGGUAUGGGCCCAGGCGGUAUGGGCCCAGGCGUUAUGGGCCCAGGCGGUAUGGGCCCAGGUGGUAUGGGCCCAGGUGGUAUGGGCCCUGGCGGUAUGGGCCCUGGCGGAGGAGGAAUGAUGUUUGGAAACCAACAAGGAGGGAUGGGGCCUGGGCCUGGUUUUAAUAACAAUGGAGGACCAAGAGGUAUGGGAUUUGGUGGUGGAAUGGGACCGAGAGGUGGAUUUGGCUGUGGUCCUGGUGGAAUGGGGCCUGGUCCAGGAGGCAUGGGACCUGGUCCAGGAGGCAUGGGACCUGGUCCAGGAGGCAUGGGACCUGGUCCAAGAGGCAUGGGUCCAGGUGGAAUGGGACCAGGUCCAGGUAGAAUGAUGGGACCAGGCCCAGGAGGAAAUCAACAAAGUAAACAAGAAAGGAACAUGCACAAUUUAUUCCUUAGCAAUCAACCUGAUGUUGAGACUGAUGACAACCGAAUUCAGCAGCUUCAAAAUCAGGCUGCACAAUGGCAGCAACAGGGGCCUCCAAACAUGGUUGGUAUGGGAGACAACUAUACCAACAUGAUGCAGAACCAUCAACAGUGGAACCAGGAGCAUGCUCAAGGAAUUGACAAGAUCACAUUAGAAGAGUUGAAACAAAAGCAGGAAACUUUUAAAGUACAAGUUAAACAAUGGGAAUCUGAAUUCAAGAAGUGGAAAGAUGAGAACAAAAGCCAUCCUGACAAGGAAUUAUAUCGUAUGUAUGAACAGCAGUGGAGAGAAUGGGAAAUUCAGAUCAGACAGAUGUCAGCCGCCACUGAAAAAGAGAUUGAAAUUAGAGAAAAUGAAAUAAAGCAGAAAGAGGCCAUAAGAAAUGAACAGCUAAUGAAAAGUAAACAAAAUAUUAGUGGCCCAGGGGAAGAAAUUGGAAUGAGUGGACAAGGUCCAGCAGGCCCUGGAGAAAUGGGUGGUUCAGGCCCAAUGGGACCAGGUGGUGGAUUGGGUGGACCAGGCCCAAUGGGACCAGGUGGUGGAAUGGGUGGACCAGGCCCAAUGGGACCAGGUGGUGGAAUGGGUGGACCAGGCCUGAUGGGACCAGGUGGUGGCAUGGGUGGACCAGGCCCAAUGGGACCAGGUGGUGGAAUGGGGGGACCAGGACCAAUGGGACCAGGUGGUGGAAUGGGUGGACCUGGACCAAUGGGACCAGGUGGGGGAAUGGGUGGACCAGGCCCGAUUGGACCAUGUGGUGGUAUGGGUGGACCAGGGCCAAUGGGACCAGGUAUAAUGGGAGGACCAGGUGGAAUGGAUGGACCAGGUGGGAUGGGUGGGCCAAUGGGGCCAGGUGGAAUGGGUGGACCAGGUCCCAUGGGGCCAGGAGGUGGAAUGGGUGGACCAAGGCCAUUGAUGGAAGGGCUUGAAAAAAUGGGUAGACAAAUGGGUGGUCCUGGAAGAGGAAAGGGAAAGAUUAUAAUUGGAAAAGGUCCAUUCAGUAAAGACGCUCCUUACGGAUACAACAGAGCAAACAGGCCUAUCGGUGAACCGUAUAAUGGACAGUCGGCUUCAUCAUUGCGGAGAAAGCGCAGAAGACUAGCAAAACUUAACCGAAUGAAACGCUCUAAUGACAACAGCAUUAAUGUUGAAGAGAUUCAUAAUGACUCGGUACCACCAGGCAUAGAGCAGUAUGACUACAGCUUGGAUUAUUCUGAUGAAGAGGGAGAAGAGGAAGGAUCUGAUGAGGCCGAAAAAUUUGAUAUUGAGGGUGUCAAUAACUUGGAUGUAGAUAUUCAACAUGCCAGUGCAACCACGGAUAUUGCCAAUACAGACCAACACUUUGAUAUCCCACAUGCAGAUGAAGAUGUUGGUUAUCCACAUGCAGGUCAGCAAUUCAACAUUCCUCAACAUAUGCAACAGGAAACAGCUGUAAAACAGACACUGAAUAAUGUUGUUCAUCCAAAUGACAAACUAUCCAAUUUUCUUGUUAUUCAAAAAGAAUCUAGUGAAGAUGGGAAGUAUGUUGAAACAAUGAUUCCUACAGUAUCAAGCGAAUCGCACUUCAAAGGAAGUGAUGUAUCCACCAUCACGUCACAGACUACUGUUGUGUCACCGGUAGUUAUUGAGAAAAAAGCAAUUCUAAAUAAAGCACCUGGUAAACAAAUCCCUCCACCCCCUCCAUCACACCCUCCACCAGCACAUGUUGUAAAACAACAAAAAGUUGGCCUACAAAACAAACCUGAUGUAGAAAACAAGAAAGGGGGUGGCGUAACAAAAUGGGAUCUUCAGCAAUUAAUGAGUGAAUCCAGAAUAGACGCAAAUACAAGUGACCUGAAAAAGUCAGUUGGCGAAAGUGAGAAAGAAAAAGAUGAACCGGAUAAAGAUAAGAAAAAAGAAGUGAAGCAAGAAGAUGAACAGAAAAAAGUUGAGGAUAAAAAAGCUGCAAACAAAAGUGUUAGUAAAGACAAGGACAGCAAGAAAGAUGAAGAGAAACCAAAAACAAAGGAAUCUGAUGAUGGAAAGAAUAAAGAGGAAUCAAGAGGAACAUUGAAAGAGGAGUUAUCACGGUUAGCUGCGGCUAAGAAGGGCGAGUCCACAAGAAAAGAUAUGUUUGGUCGGGAUAUUAAAAGAUCACGCUCCAGGUCGCGUGAACGAGAUAAAAGACUUAGCCGAGAUCAAGACAGACACAAUAGCAGAGAGAGAGCAAGUGGCCGUGAUUCUGAUAGAAAUCGUGAUAGGAUUCGCGAAAGAAGUCGCAAUCGAAGCCGUGAUCGUGAUAGAAACAGAGAUAGGAGUCCUGACAGAAGCCGGGAUAGGGACAUUGGAAGGGACCGAAACAGAGACAAUGAUAGGCAGAAACAAAAUGAACGCCUUGAUGCAAGAGAGAGAGAUCGGUUAAAUCCAGUCAACAAAGAGGCGGGUGGGGACGAAAAAACCUUAAAGCCACGUGACAACCAAGAGUUUUUAAUGAACCCUAAUGAUAAUGUACAAGACCAAGCACAUCGACCUAUAAGCUACCCGCCUAUGCCUGGAGGAAGAAGAACACCACCCCCACCACCAGGAGUUCGAGGGCCUUUGACGCCUCCUCAUUUACAAGGAAGACCAUCAUACAUGAUGGACAUGCAUUCUCAUGACAGACGACUUGGUUAUGAUGAUCGCUUUGGAAUUGAUCGUUACAGAGGAUUUGAACGCCCACCCUUUGACUCCUACACUAGGCCACAAGAAUUGUAUCAUGACAGAUGGGAUGAGAGAAUUCGAGAACGUGGACUUGAUAGGAGAGACUGGGUAUAUGAACGGGGAUAUCCUCCACCCCAACUGGAUGAUCCUUACUAUAGACGUGCAUACGCUCGUUCACCAUCUCCACCCGCGGUCAAGAUUCAGACAAUUGAUUAUGGACAUGGUACCAUUCAGCCAGCUAUAGAUCAUACCUUAAAUGACCCAGAUCCGGUCUUUGCUGCUCAACCAAGCAAUCAGUUUGGCAUGUCUCAGUCAGUUGGCAGCAGUUAUUCAAAUCAAGGUGUCUACAACCAAACAUCAGGAAAUCCGUAUCUAGCACGGGCAGGUAUCGCAAUGCCAAAGCGUGAAUUGUUUAACAUAAUGGAUAUCCUGACCACACCUGGUAGUGCGAAGCGUUCGAGUAAUACCAUCAUUAUCCUGAGAGGCCCUCCAGGAGCAGGAAAGACUUACAUGGCUAAGUUGUUAAAAGAGAAGGAGACUCAAAAUGGAGGUCAAGCCCCAAGAAUGCUUUGCUUAGAUGAUUAUUUCAUGAUGGAAACUGAAAAAACAGAAAAGGAUCCAGAGACUGGAAAACUUAUAAAGAGAAAGGUGAUGGAAUACGAGUUUGAACCAGAGAUGGAAGAAACAUACCGUGCUAGUCUACUAAAGUCAUUUAAGAAGACUGUAGACAGCGGUCUCUUCAGCUUCAUCAUUCUUGAUGCUAUAAACAACAAAAAGGAACAUUAUGACCAAUUUUGGAGCUACGGUCGAUCCAAAGGAUUUGAGGUUUACAUUGUUGAGCUGAUGCAUGAUGUUUCCAUUUGUCAUAAGAGGUGUGAACACAAUCGCAGUUUCAGGAGCAUUGAGUUGAUGAUCCAGAAUUGGGAGUCUACUCCUGCUCACUACCAGAUGGCUGAUGUCAGGGGCCUGCUGCAAGAAGCUGCCAUUGAUGAUGUGGAGAUGGAAGAUUUUGAUCCUAUGGAGAUGGCAGGGACCAGUACUGAAGCUCCUCCAGAUGGUCAAAUGAUAAGCUGGAUGGUAUUAGGUCGUUCAAGAGGCGGAGGUCGGAAAGCGAAAUGCCGGCACAAAGCUUAGAGGAAUACCUGUCUGUAACGGAAGACUAUGCCUACAGGAAGUGUGUACCUGGGACAAAGAGGGUACGCUGGGCAGACAUCGAAGAACAGAAGGAUCAGGAUCUGAAAAGAGCGAUGGGGUUUGUCGUGGGACAAACUCAGCAAGAUUGGCAGAAAAUGACAGAUGAUAACUUUGCCCACAAUGCUCUCAACAAAACCAAGU